AGUGAACGCUGGCGGUAGGCCUAACACAUGCAAGUCGAACGGCAGCACAGUAAGAGCUUGCUCUUACGGGUGGCGAGUGGCGGACGGGUGAGGAAUACAUCGGAAUCUACUUUUUCGUGGGGGAUAAUGUAGGGAAACUUACGCUAAUACCGCAUACGACCUACGGGUGAAAGCAGGGGAUCUUCGGACCUUGCGCGAUUGAAUGAGCCGAUGUCGGAUUAGCUAGUUGGCGGGGUAAAGGCCCACCAAGGCGACGAUCCGUAGCUGGUCUGAGAGGAUGAUCAGCCACACUGGAACUGAGACACGGUCCAGACUCCUACGGGAGGCAGCAGUGGGGAAUAUUGGACAAUGGGCGCAAGCCUGAUCCAGCCAUACCGCGUGGGUGAAGAAGGCCUUCGGGUUGUAAAGCCCUUUUGUUGGGAAAGAAAAGCAGCAGGUGAAUACCCCGCUGUUCUGACGGUACCCAAAGAAUAAGCACCGGCUAACUUCGUG
rnacentral:rRNA from 1 species